CUGUCCCAGUUCGGACUGGAGUCUGCAACCCGACUCCACGAAGUUGGAUUCGCUAGUAAUCGCGCAUCAGCCAUGGCGCGGUGAAUACGUUCCCGGGCCUUGUACACACCGCCCGUCAAGCCAUGGGAGCCGGGGGGCGCCUGAAGUCCGGGACCGCGAGGACCGGCCUAGGGCGAAACUGGUAACUGGGGCUAAGUCGUAACAAGGUAGC
rnacentral:rRNA from 1 species